rnacentral:rRNA from 1 species
GAUGAACGCUGGCGGCGUGCCUAAUACAUGCAAGUCGAGCGAACAGACGAGGAGCUUGCUCCUCUGACGUUAGCGGCGGACGGGUGAGUAACACGUGGAUAACCUACCUAUAAGACUGGGAUAACUUCGGGAAACCGGAGCUAAUACCGGAUAAUAUAUUGAACCGCAGGGUUCAAUAGUGAAAGACGGUUUUGCUGUCACUUAUAGAUGGAUCCGCGCCGCAUUAGCUAGUUGGUAAGGUAACGGCUUACCAAGGCAACGAUGCGUAGCCGACCUGAGAGGGUGAUCGGCCACACUGGAACUGAGACACGGUCCAGACUCCUACGGGAGGCAGCAGUAGGGAAUCUUCCGCAAUGGGCGAAAGCCUGACGGAGCAACGCCGCGUGAGUGAUGAAGGUCUUCGGAUCGUAAAACUCUGUUAUUAGGGAAGAACAAAUGUGUAAGUAACUAUGCACGUCGUGACGGUACCUAAUCAGAAAGCCACGGCUAACUACGUG